GGAUGUCAGGGCAAUCUGGCUUUGACAACUGUCACCUCAUGGAUUGCCAGGACUGUCCCCUUCCUUCUUCGUUACUCCAUGUACAGCAGAUGACCAGUGAAUGAGUGGCCGCUCCCCUAAGCUAGACUCUCCAAGUAAGCUUUCAAAGGCAAAUAAUAGUGCAAAUGCAGACACAUAUUAUAAUUCUGCUUCUCAAAUAUUAGUGUGUAUGAGAAGUA
rnacentral:snRNA from 1 species